GGGGUGUAAUAGCGCGGGAGGUGGGGCUAAGGGGACCCUCAUCCUCCCUUUCCGACAAGUGGGGGUCCUGAGCGCUGCCCAGAAGGGGUCCAGAGAAUGUUGUGGGCUGGGGCACACCCGCCGGGGCAGAAAUUGGAGGACACCACCGACGUCGACAGAAUCCUUUCUAUCCUUCCUUUCAGCUGCCCGGUGUUCUCCACCCCUGCGUUAGCACUCUGUAGUCUGGGGACCUCCCGGGAACGUCCCGGGGCUAGCAACCAAGGGGGCUCUCGGAUGCUCUGUGGAUCGCCGCUUCGCCCUUACUUUGGGGACGGUCACACGCGUCCCGCUUCCCCCGGUCGCUUUAGAUCAGGCGUCUGCGCCCUCCCCGGCUCCUCACCCCCACCCCCAGAGUCAAAUGUGGGCCUCUCCUGGAAAUCCUUUGCGAAGGGGACAAACUUUUGAGUGGACGAAAAUCUAUUGGAGCCUGUCCAGAGCAGCAGGCCCUGCUCUGAGACCCUGAGGCUGGCUGGCAUACACUCUGCCUCUGUCUGGAGUUUAUAAUGAGGAUGCAAAUACAGGGAUUCAAAGAAGAGGCCCUAAGUGAGAAGCCCGGGGAUUUGCUAACCAGGGGCAGGGUACCAGUUGUGACUUUGACCUUUAUAGCCUUAACUCACUGUAGACAAUUCUGCAUUUUCCAUUUCCACUCCAUCCCUGUUUCUGGGAGAGAGGUGCUGGUGUCCCCAAGGUUACUGCUCUCUGGGGAUGAGGGUCAGUAUCACAAAUUAAAACCUUAAACUUUCUAAAAACGAAAAGCACAUUUCCCUAUUCUUUGUGUGUUUGGGAGGUUGUGUUUCCCACUAGCCUAGCAGACUCUG
rnacentral:lncRNA from 1 species